CAGACAGAGGUCUUGGAGAAGUCCUGGAGAUUCAAGAUAAGAAAGAGUCCAUCAUCACAUAUCAUGGAGAACAUCAUAUUAGAAAUGUCUUAGGAAUGGAUGCAGGAUCGUGAGAAUAACUCAUUUAAUUUCCACAGUCACUAUCACCAGGAUCAAGAACAACAUCCUAAAAUAUUCCCAUCAAUUCACUCUGGAUCCGAACACAGCACAUAAACAUCUCCGUCUGUCUGAUAGCAACAAAGUGAUUGCUGGCACCAGAGUAGAUCAACCGUAUCCUGAUCAUCCAGACAGAUCUGAAAGUGUGUGUCAGGUGUUGUGUAGAGAGAGCGUGUGUGGACGCUGUUACUGGGAGCUGGAGUGGAGUUCUGGUGAGCGUGGUAUGCUCUUUUGGAUUCAAUAAGAUAUGGACCGAUCUCCCUGUGAAGUCCAUCAGCAGAAGAAUAGGAGUGUUUGUGAAUCACAGUGCAGGAACUCUGUCCUUCUACAGCGUCUCGGACACAAUGAACCUCAUCCACACAGUCCAGACCACAUUCACUCAGACACUCUAUCCUGGGUUUAACGUUUCUAGGGGAUGCCGAGUGGAACUGUGUUGAUGAAUCAGAACAGAACUUUGAGCUCCGUGAUAAUCGGUAAUAAUGAGGUUUGGAGACUGUCUUCUUUUCUCUUCAUGAAAUUAAUACUGCAGCUGAAUGUGUGUCGGUGAAAAAAGACGUCAGAACAAAUGUCAUGAAUCCUCAUAUAGACAGUAAAAACCAGUUGUGUGUCUGUACUUUUUACGUGUAUCCGAGGAAUUGUGUUCACAAUCAAUUAAUCCCUUUCAUUAUGCACAUUCUGCAGCUCUGGCCCUCUUCAGCGCUUUGUGUUCCAGUGUGUUUUUUGUAAUGCGUUUAAUCAUAAACCAUGCAAUUCACCUUUAUUUGUGUGUGUGAGCUGCUCACCUGUGUCACCUGUUCAUCUUAAUGUUUUGGAAGAGUACUGUUUUUAACACUACUGUUUUAAAGGUUUUAUUUACAAAUGUGCCAGUGGGUUACUAUUAUCUACAGGCUGUUGGUGUUUUAGUUCCUGAGGGCUGUGUGUGUGAGGGAUGAUGAAGGACAGAUGAAUGGCCACUGCUUUGAUAUUUAUGUACAUCCUGUCGAUUUCUGUGGCUCCUGAAUUUAAGGCCAGGGCUUGGCCUGAGCCAGGAUUAGGCCAUAAUUAAUUGGACAUUUAAGUAAUUAAAUUUUAAACACAUUAAAAAACGACCUAGUGUGUAGUAAUUUUCAAUACUAUUUAGGGCAGAUAGGGUGAAUUUAAAACCCUCUUUUGCGUGAACUACUUCCUCCCGCCAAAAAUUCAAAUCUAAAGCUGACCGUUAACAGCUGAGCCCAAGCGUUACUAAUUUCAAACCGUCACUUUAAAACUAGUAACGAAGAAACGUCAUUAAAAACUUGUAUAACUUUUAGUAAAAGCAGUGUAUAGUAGAGUAUCAUGAGAAAGUGAUGAUUACCUUCAUCUGUGAGUAAUUUCUGAUGACAGUUGGUUGCU